AGGUGGUUUGGGUGGCGGUGGUGGAGGAGGUGCAGGUGGUGGGUCGGGUCAUGGUGGCGGAUUUGGUGCAGGUGGAGGGGUAGGAGGUGGAGCUGGUGGAGGUGUUGGAGGUGGUGGAGGCGUUGGAGGAGGUGGUGGGGGUGGCAUUGGUGGAGGAUCCGGCCAUGGCGGAGGAUUUGGAGCCGGUGGUGGUGUGGGUGGAGGUAAAGGAUCUGAUGGGGGUCAUGGAAUAGGUGGAGGAUUUGGAAUAGGAAUUGGUGUAGGUGUGGGAGUUGGAGUUGGUGCAGGUGCAGGUGCUGGUGCUGGUGGUGGAUCCGGUGGUGGAUCCGGUGGUGGACAUUAAAACCAAUGAAGUUCAUAAGUCAUGUAUAACCAUCACUUGUAGUUGUAGUCUUGUAGACGGAUGCAUGAAAGAGUGGUAUAAGUAGCGGCUAGGAGUGUAUCAUGUAAACAAAGAACUGUUAAUUGCUUAAUAGUUAUCAGUGGUGUGCCAUCAAUCAUGUUUUGAGUUUCCAAAAUAAAGAAAUCUCUCUGUUUUUUUUAUUCAAAAAAAUUAAAAAGAAGGUUAUAUAUUAAUGAAUAGUUUCAACAAAGAGAUUGUCAUGUAAAUUUUCUAAGCAGCUUCCUCUUUUAAUCUGGGAAAAUUUAUGACACGGGAAAGAUAUAAACAUCUCUUCCAUCUAAAAUGAUUCGGAAUUAAAUUAAAGGCUACGUGUUUUAUGACAAACGUGAUGAAAUAGACCGUCUCCAUGUGAUUGCAGACUGACUGCGUCAGGGCUUUUCCGUACGUCAUAUAUCUGCAUUUACUUUAUUUAUUUGAUUAUUUGAUUACUGAAGCCAUGCCAUCUCAUCCGUUAGGCUCCGUUUGGGUUGAGGGAAAGGGAUGAGAAAAGAAAAAUAUUCUUAAAUGAUAUCUUUUUCCCAUAUUUGAUUGUUGGGAUAUAAUAGUAUGGGAUGAGAAAAGAGUAAGAAGUAGAUCCAAAAAAUAAGUAAAUGGGAUCCACCAAAAUGGUGCGACCCUAGUGAGAAAGGAAAAAUGUUAGACGCGACUGAGAAAAGUUAUCAGGCUUUGCCAGGCCUGAACUCUAGAAUCUCCUUUUUCCUUCAGCCAAGCAUUCCAACGGUCGUAUCUCCAGCGACUUCUUUGGUGAUAUCAAGCAAAUGUCCGAUCUGGAAGCUGUUUUAAUUACAGGCUUUGAUGUUAUUUUUCCUUGAAAGAAUGCUGAACCUGGAUUGAGUUCACAACAGUACAUCAUCCAUGUAUUUUUUUAUGUUGCAAAAUUUUCCUUCAGCAGUACCACCAUUCCAGCUAACCUCUGCAAGAGAGAGUCCACAAUGCCAAGAUUAUGUAAUUCCUAUCAUCCAGAUCAUCAUUCAGAUAUUUUGAAGUUGGAUGAUGGAGAAACAACACUUAGGCUUUGACAUCUUUGAAAUUUGCAAGUUUAAUGGCAUCAAAUUCUGCUUUUGAAUUUUUUGAUUGUUUUAGUUUAAGAGGAAUUAGCCUAAUUAUAAAAUUAAUUGAAGCAUGGACUUUUCAUAGCUUUGAUGCCUCAAAACUUGGACCCUUGGUUAGGAUCUCUUGGCCUUUAUUUUUAGUUUAUUUGUAUCAAAUGUGUGGCGAUUUUGAUAUGCAAAGAAAUCAUAAUUACCAUGGUCUUUGGCAA